CAGCCGGGCUCGCACAGCAUGGAGUCAGCUUUUGAAAGUAUGAGGAAUGUCAUCUGCACUGAAACUGACUUGGAGUACAGUAUCUGAAUAUGAAAUUUUUCUAGUAAUCCAUCUAUCUACAUUUGGACAAUGUAACAUCACCACAACGGAACUGAUCGGCUUCAUUCAGAAGCAGAAGGAAAAUGCCAGAGGC